rnacentral:rRNA from 1 species
AUUGAACGCUGGCGGCAGGCCUAACACAUGCAAGUCGAACGAGUGGCGGACGGGUGAGUAAUGUCUGGGAAACUGCCUGAUGGAGGGGGAUAACUACUGGAACCGGUAGCUAAUACCGCAUACCAUCAGAUGUGCCCAGAUGGGAUUAGCUUGUUGGUGGGGUAACGGCUAAACAAGGCGACGAUCCCUAGCUGGUCUGAGAGGGUGACCAUCAACACUGGAACGGAGACACGGUCCAGACUCCUCCGGUAGGCAGCAGUGGGGAAUAUUGCACAAUGGGCGCAAGCCUGAUACAGCCAUGCCGCGUGUAUGAAGAAGGCCUUCGGGUUUUAAAGUACUUUCAGCGGGGAGGCGUUACCCGAAGAAGAAGCACCGGCUAACUCCGUGCCAGCAGCCGCGGUAAUUC